CCCUGGAUUGGACUGCGGCCGAUCAGGCUGUUGGUGAGGUAAUGGCCCACCAAACCUGUAACCGGUACGGGCUCUGAGAGGAGGAGCCCGGAGAUGGGCACUGAGACAAGGGCCCAGGCCCUAUGGGGCGCAGCAGGCGCGAAACCUCUGCAAUAGGCGAAAGCCUGACAGGGUUACUCUGAGUGAUUUCCGUUAAGGAGAUCUUUUGGCACCUCUAAAAAUGGUGCAGAAUAAGGGGUGGGCAAGUCUGGUGUCAGCCGCCGCGGUAAUACCAGCACCCCGAGUGGUCGGGACGUUUAUUGGGCCUAAAGCAUCCGUAGCCGGUUCUACAAGUCUUCCGUUAAAUCCACCUGCUUAACAGAUGGGCUGCGGAAGAUACUAUGGAGCUAGGAGGCGGGAGAGGCAAGCGGUACUCGAUGGGUAGGGGUAAAAUCCGUUGAUCCAUUGAAGACCACCAGUGGCGAAGGCGGCUUGCCAGAACGCGCUCGACGGUGAGGGAUGAAAGCUGGGGGAGCAAACCGGAUUAGAUACCCGGGUAGUCCCAGCUGUAAACGAU
rnacentral:rRNA from 1 species